GACGAACCGAGCGAACGUUAUUCGGAAUCACUGGGCUUAAAGGGUGCGUAGGCGGGUCUGUAAGUCAGGGGGUGAAAUCCCACGGCCCAACCGUGGAAGUGCCUCUGAUACUGCGGGCCUGGAGGGGGAUAGGGGCGUGCGGAACUUCCGGUGGAGCGGUGAAAUGCGUAGAUAUCGGAAGGAACACCGGUGGCGAAAGCGGCGCGCUGGAUCCCUACUGACGCUGAGGCACGAAAGCCAGGGGAGCAAACGGG
rnacentral:rRNA from 1 species